GACAGAGGGUGCAAACGUUGCUCGGAAUCACUGGGCGUAAAGGGCGUGUAGGCGGGAAGGAAAGUCAGAUGUGAAAUCCCUGGGCUCAACCCAGGAACUGCAUUUGAAACUCCCUUUCUUGAGUGUCGGAGAGGAAAGCGGAAUUCCUGGUGUAGAGGUGAAAUUCGUAGAUAUCAGGAGGAACACCGGUGGCGAAGGCGGCUUUCUGGACGACAACUGACGCUGAGACGCGAAAGCGUGGGGAGCAAACAGGAUUAGAACCGUACCGUC
rnacentral:rRNA from 1 species